rnacentral:rRNA from 1 species
GUGUACGGCCAUACCACCCUCAACGUGCCCAAUUUUGUUUGAUCUCGGAAGCUAAGCAAGGUUGGGACUGCUUAGUACUUGGAUGGGAGAAAGUACAGGAUAUAUAAA